ACCCUCAAUACGGUUGGAAAUCGUGUUCCGAGCGUAAUGGUAUAAGGGUGCUUGACUGCGAGAGCAACGGCUCGAGCAGGUAGGAAACUAGGUCAUAGUGAUCCGGUGUUUCAGUAUGGAAUGGCCAUCGCUCGACGGAUAAAAGCUACUCUGGGGAUAACAGGCUAAUACUGCCCAAGAGUUCACAUCGACGGCAGUGUUUGGCACCUCGAUGUCGACUCAUCUCAUCCUCGAGCUGAAGCUGGUUCGAAGGGUUCGGCUGUUCGCCGAUUAAAGAGAUACGUGAGUUGGGUUCAAACGGUCGUGAGACAGGUUGGUCCCUAUCUAUUGUGGCUGUUGGAAGAUUGCGAAGAUUUGUUCCUAGUACGAGAGGACCGGAACGAAGAUACCUCUUGUGCACCAGUUGUUUUGCCAAAAGCACCGCUGGGUAGCAACGUAUCGAAUAGAUAAACGCUGAAAGCAUCUAAGUGUGAAACUGACUUCAAAAAUAAUCUUCCCGUUUGUAGCAAUACAAACUAAAUGUACUUAAAGAUGAUGAGUUAUAUAGGUCAGGGGUGUAAGUGUGGUGACGCAUUGAGCUGACUGAUCCUAAUUUAACGAGAGAGUUUACGAC
rnacentral:rRNA from 1 species